UACGUAGGGGGCAAGCGUUGUCCGGAUUUAUUGGGCGUAAAGAGCUCGUAGGCGGUUUAGUAAGUCGGGUGUGAAAACUCCAGGCUCAACCUGGAGACGCCACCCGAUACUGCUGUGGCUAGAGUCCGGUAGGGGAGCGUGGAAUUCCUGGUGUAGCGGUGAAAUGCGCAGAUAUCAGGAGGAACACCAGCGGCGAAGGCGGCGCUCUGGGCCGAUACUGACGCUGAGGAGCGAAAGCGUGGGGAGCAAACAGG
rnacentral:rRNA from 1 species